AAUACAAAGAUAAAUAAAAAUACUAGCUAUCGAUUACAAUGUUCGAUCCGGGACAUAUCAUAUCACGAGUCCCACCGAUUGUGCGGUUCAAUUUUGCGGGCCUCCGGGCUUUUGCGGGCCUCCAGGUUUUAUUUUUAGGCCCGGGGCCCGCACGAACUCGAUUUUUAGGCACGAGCAUGUUUUUUUUUGGCAAAAGCCCGCAGGCCACGAAAAAAAGCACGGCCCGCGCCCACCUCUACUUCCGAUUUCAUUUAAGUUGCAUUGUCAAUUAAAGAUUCAUUAUUGAGUCAUUAUUGUCUCUGCACAAAUCCAUUGGCUUGGAAAGUGGUCAACUCUUAACGGCAAGUUUACUAUCUCCCGAAGAGAGGGGGGAACGUAAAGAGUUAAAACUAAGCACAAAUGGAGAUGUAAACUGCUAAAGGAGGGCACAAAUUCAUUGACUGUGAAAGUCAAGUCAAGGCUAGCAAGGCGUUUACCUGAAGAGCCCAGCACUUGUUGACCCUAAACUGGAAACGGUCACGCUUCCCUAAUCCCACAGCCCUCCUCCUCGCCACCAAUCACGCAUAGACGCGGCAGCAUAAGGCGUGCGACUACGUUCACGAAGGGAGAGCAGACCCAUCACGGCAGAAUCGAAUGUAGAAGUGUAAAAUCUAGUCAAGAAUAAGACCCAAGGAAAUCAGAACUGCUAAUUGUUGUAACUGGUAACCGGGUGAACACAUUUAAUAUAAAUUUGGUGGGACGAACACACGAGAUCUUUUGCGCUUGCCGAUCAUAUCUCCAGACCAAUAAAAUCAAUUCGUUACUACUGCAAUAAAAUUAGGCACUUUGCGGCUAAAUGCCCAGAGCCACAGCGAAAAAAACGGUGUUCCAAAUGUUUUAGGAUUGGGCAUAAUGAAAAGUAUUGCAAGGUGAUAAUCUCGUCCACGUUCUGAUUGCAGCUUAAAAGUUUGAAGCGUUCAUGGCCAGGGGUAGCAAUAACAAACUCAUUAAAGAAGCAGCAGUGCCAGAUGGAGCAAUACGGCAGUCAAGGGUCAAACGUCUGCAAGGCUUUAAAGGAUCUGUUUUUUAGGCCCGGGACCCGCACGAACUCGAUUUUUAGGCACGAGCAUGUUUUUUUUUGGCAAAAGCCCGCAGGCCACGAAAAAAAGCACGGCCCGUGCCCACCUCUACUUCCGAUUUCAUUUAAGAUGCAUUGUCAAUUAAAGAUUCACGAUUUCUUCAA